rnacentral:rRNA from 1 species
UGCGUAGGCGGAUAAAUAAGUCAGUGGUGAAAUCUUUCGGCUCAACCGGGAAACUGCCAUUGAUACUGUUUAUCUUGAGUUCGGUAGAGGUAGGCGGAAUGUGUAAUGUAGCGGUGAAAUGCUUAGAUAUUACACAGAACACCAAUUGCGUAGGCAGCUUACGAUGCCGACACUGACGCUGAGGCACGAAAGCGUGGGGAGCGAACAGGAUUAGAUACCCUGGUAGUCC